UGAAGGAGGAGCUUGCUCCUCCGGAUUAGUGGCGAACGGGUGAGUAAUACGUGAGCAAUGUGCCCUUGACUCUGGGAUAAGCGCUGGAAACGGCGUCUAAUACCGGAUACGACGAUCGGAGGCAUCUCCUGGUCGUGGAAAGAACUUCGGUCAAGGAUCAGCUCACGGCCUAUCAGCUUGUUGGUGAGGUAAUGGCUCACCAAGGCGACGACGGGUAGCCGGCCUGAGAGGGUGACCGGCCACACUGGGACUGAGACACGGCCCAGACUCCUACGGGAGGCAGCAGUGGGGAAUAUUGCACAAUGGGCGCAAGCCUGAUGCAGCAACGCCGCGUGAGGGACGAAGGCCUUCGGGUUGUAAACCUCUUUUAGCAGGGAAGAAGCGAGAGUGACGGUACCUGCAGAAAAAGCACCGGCUAACUACGUGCCAGCAGCCGCGGUAAUACGUAGGGUGCAAGCGUUGUCCGGAAUUAUUGGGCGUAAAGAGCUCGUAGGCGGUUUGUCGCGUCUGCUGUGAAAACCCGAGGCUCAACCUCGGGCUUGCAGUGGGUACGGGCAGACUAGAGUGCGGUAGGGGAGAUUGGAAUUCCUGGUGUAGCGGUGGAAUGCGCAGAUAUCAGGAGGAACACCGAUGGCGAAGGCAGAUCUCUGGGCCGUAACUGACGCUGAGGAGCGAAAGCAUGGGGAGCAAACAGGCUUAGAUACCCUGGUAGUCCAUGCCGUAAACGUUGGGAACU
rnacentral:rRNA from 1 species